rnacentral:rRNA from 1 species
CUAACAUGCAAGUCGAGCGGUAAGGCCUUUCGGGGUACACGAGCGGCGAACGGGUGAGUAACACGUGGGUGAUCUGCCCUGCACUUCGGGAUAAGCCUGGGAAACUGGGUCUAAUACCGGAUAUGACCUCCUAUCGCAUGGUGGGUGGUGGAAAGAUUUAUCGGUGCAGGAUGGGCCCGCGGCCUAUCAGCUUGUUGGUGGGGUAAUGGCCUACCAAGGCGACGACGGGUAGCCGACCUGAGAGGGUGACCGGCCACACUGGGACUGAGACACGGCCCAGACUCCUACGGGAGGCAGCAGUGGGGAAUAUUGCACAAUGGGCGAAAGCCUGAUGCAGCGACGCCGCGUGAGGGAUGACGGCCUUCGGGUUGUAAACCUCUUUCAGCAGGGACGAAGCGCAAGUGACGGUACCUGCAGAAGAAGCACCGGCUAACUACGUGCCAGCAGCCGCGGUAAUACGUAGGGUGCAAGCGUUGUCCGGAAUUACUGGGCGUAAAGAGUUCGUAGGCGGUUUGUCGCGUCGUUUGUGAAAACCAGCAGCUCAACUGCUGGCUUGCAGGCGAUACGGGCAGACUUGAGUACUGCAGGGGAGACUGGAAUUCCUGGUGUAGCGGUGAAAUGCGCAGAUAUCAGGAGGAACACCGGUGGCGAAGGCGGGUCUCUGGGCAGUAACUGACGCUGAGGAACGAAAGCGUGGGUAGCGAACAGGAUUAGAUACCCUGGUAGUCCACGCCGUAAACGGUGGGCGCUAGGUGUGGGUUCCUUCCACGGAAUCCGUGCCGUAGCUAACGCAUUAAGCGCCCCGCCUGGGGAGUACGGCCGCAAGGCUAAAACUCAAAGGAA